CCUGAUUGAGAAGCUGGAGAAGGACGUGUACGCCGUGAUGCGCCUGGAGAGAGAGGAGAGGGCCAUGGCCUACUCGGAGGCUCAGGUCAGUGUGUCACAGAAGCAGCGAGCACAAAACGCAGACGAGGCAGACCUCCAGAGGACGUGGUUCCAAAUGCACGACGAGCGCAAGACCGCAUGACCAAAGCUCUGGCGGACUUUGACUUGACCCUAAGGGGAAAGAAGAGAGAGAAGUUCAUCAAAG